CCUACGGGUGGCAGCAGUGAGGAAUAUUGGUCAAUGGACGCAAGUCUGAACCAGCCAUGCCGCGUGCAGGAAGACGGCUCUAUGAGUUGUAAACUGCUUUUGUACGAGGGUAAACGCAGAUACGCGUAUCUGUCUGAAAGUAUCGUACGCAUAAGGUUCGGCUAACUCCGUGCCAGCAGCCGCGGUAAUACGGAGGAUUCAAGCGUUAUCCGGAUUUAUUGGGUUUAAAGGGUGCGUAGGCGGUCGGAUAAGUUAGAGGUGAAAUCCCGAGGCUCAACUUCGGAAUUGCCUCUGAUACCGUGCGGCUAGAGAGUAGUUGCGGUAGGCGGAAUGUAUGGUGUAGCGGGGAAAUGCUUAGAGAUCAUACAGAACACCGAGUGCCAAGGCAGCUUACCAAGCUACUUCUGACGUUGAGGCACGAAAGCGUGGGGAGCAAACAGGAUUAGAUACCCGAGUAGUC
rnacentral:rRNA from 1 species